rnacentral:rRNA from 1 species
GAUGAACGCUGACAGAAUGCUUAACACAUGCAAGUCUUUGGCGAAGCUGUGCUCGCACAGCCUAGCCAAGGCGGACGGGUGAGUAACGCGUAAGGAAAUUGCCCUGCAGUCAGGGAUAACAGACGGAAACGACUGAUAAGACCUGGUAAAGUCAGGCGGACUCAUGUCCAGCCUGAUGAAAAGAGAUGCUGCAGGAGAGCCUUGCGUCCUAUUAGCUUGUUGGUGGGGUAACGGCCCACCAAGGCGAUGAUAGGUAGCCGGCCUGAGAGGGUGGACGGCCACAAGGGGACUGAGAUACGGCCCUUACUCCUACGGGAGGCAGCAGUGGGGAAUAUUGGACAAUGGGGGCAACCCUGAUCCAGCAAUUCUGUGUGCACGAUGAAGGUUUUCGGAUUGUAAAGGGCUUUCAGCAGGGAAGAAAAAAAUGACGGUACCUGCAGAAGAAGCGACGGCUAAAUACGUG